GAUGAACGCUGGCGGCGUGCCUAAUACAUGCAAGUCGAGCGAACAGAUGAGGAGCUUGCUCCUCUGACGUUAGCGUCGGACGGGUGAGUAACACGUGGAUAACCUACCUAUAAGACUGGGAUAACUUCGGGAAACCGGAGCUAAUACCGAAUAAUAUAUUGAACCGCAUGGUUCAAUAGUGAAAGACGGUUUUGCUGUCACUUAUAGAUGGAUCCGCGCCGCAUUAGCUAGUUGGUAAGGUAACGGCUUACCAAGGCAACGAUGCGUAGCCGACCUGAGAGGGUGAUCGGCCACACUGGAACUGAGACACGGUCCAGACUCCUAAGGGAGGCAGCAGUAGGGAAUCUUCCGCAAUGGGCGAAAGCCUGACGGAGCAACGCCGCGUGAGUGAUGAAGGUCUUCGGAUCGUAAAACUCUGUUAUUAGGGAAGAACAAAUGUGUAAGUAAAUAUGCACGUCUUGACGGUACCUAAUCAGAAAGCAACGGCUAACUCCGUG
rnacentral:rRNA from 1 species